GUCCUGUAUUGGAUAGCUACUCCGACUUUGGUCGGAGAGGAAAGUCCGAACACAGACCAGUUUAAUCUGGAAAGGUAAAGGGUAACGCCCUCCUGCAGCAAUGCAGAGUUGCGAACAGUGACGAACCGAUUUAGUUCGGGUGAAACGGCUAAAUACUUACCCCUGUGCAAGAUCGUGCUCUGACGCAAGUUGGAGAGAAUCGCUUGAGCCUAAUAGUAAUGUUAGGCCUAGACAAAUUGCUGUCUCUCUCACUUCGGUGAGUGAACAAAAUUCGGCUUAUAGAUACAAGACAAAA
rfam:Parcubacteria bacterium GW2011_GWC1_40_11 TT74_C0012, whole genome shotgun sequence.